GGAAUUGAAUCUUUACCCAUUCUCUUACUUAGGUAGAAGUCUGCCAUUUUAAGUUCUACACAUGUUGUGUACACUCGCAAUAAUAAACCCAUAAAGAUACAGCACGAGAAAAAAAAAUCGGUGUGGAUACACAAGCCAGGUAGACUUAAGACUUAUCUAUUCGUCUGGUUUUUCAGAAGCAGUGCACGUUACGGUCCUAAAAAAGACCUUAACGCAGGUAUUUUGUUGUUGUCACACGUCAAAAGGUCACCGGGCCGUCGCUGCUUCCAACAACAAGACUUAUAGGUCUAUCGAUCCCCUUUCACACGGCGGCCGCUACCCGAACCUCGCUCCGCUCUUCGGCGUGCGGCACACGGACGGCCGUGGCCGCGUUCCCGUGUAGUGCGACUACGACCUCUACCGGUUCGACGAGGUGCGGGCCCCGAAGGUGUAGUGGAAGCAGUUGUGGCUCAAGUUGGUAGCGGCCGACGAGGUGAGGGCGCCCUGCCGCCGUGAGCUGCCGGAGGGCUCGAAGGCGAAGCGGCGCUAUGGUCUGCCUGAGGGGCGCAGUCUGCGGCUGCGCUGGGUCCUGCAGGGUCGGGACACGAUGCGGUACUACUGGUGGAAAGAGGGGGCGGAUGCCCGGGAAGAACGGUUCGAGUUGCUGGGCUCGAGGCCCCACAGCGGCUAGUGGACGGAGCAGCAGCUGCCACAGCGUAGCAAGUCGAUGCUACGGCGCUUCCUCGAGCCGCACGGAACGCGGCGCAACACCUGCAGGUCACGGACGCCCAAGUACCCAAUGGCGGUGAAGGCAGCCGAAUAGCUGGCACCAGAACACGGAAAGUUUCUGCUCCUCGUCGACUGCCUGUUACCCAUAGAGCUAUGCGGCCAGCUGCCGUACUCGCCGUACACGCUACCGUAUGCCGACGCGCUGAAGGGCUGCUACUAGGCGUGGUGGCUGGCGCUGCUGUGGUACGAGUUGAUGCAGUACGCGCUCCGGUUCUCCGACAGCGAGGGGCUGCGGCACGACGAGUUGUGGAAGCUGCGUGACCUCGUCGGCCAAGAGUUGCGGUACGCGCGGUAGGAGGGCGGGUACAUGUGGCAGCCAGGCGACGUAGAGGUGAGGUCGUCGCCGCAGGGGUGGCCGUGGGGCGAGCUGCCGGAGCCGAGGUUGGAGACCUUCCUCGUCCUGCCGGAGGAGCUCACCGAGCUGCCCGUGCCGCGGCCUCGGCAGCACAUGCAGUUGAUGCCUUCGCAGCGACACUACUGCUUGCUCGUCGAGGAUCUCAAGCCCACCCCCGACCGGCUGUCGCCGAUGCGCAAGUAUACCUUGUAGGCCGGCCUGGAGCAAUCCCCUCUCUGCCGGCACUACGGCGGCCUCAAGGACCGUAGCCAAGUGCCGGCGCGGUACGAGUGCUGCACCACGGGCGUCCGCCUCCAGGAGUCCGUGCUCCGCCACCCCCGCAAGGACUGCGUGAGGCCUUAGGCCUACCUUGAGGUGCGAGCUACUACACGACCGGCAAGCGGCCCCUCGUCGUCUGGUUGACAGCCAUGUUCAUGUGGCUCACCCCCUAGCCCUAACUCUAGCCGCCGCUCCACUUCGCCCGCCUUCACCGCCGCUACUAUGCGCUCCGCUACCACCCCCCUUUCCCUGCCCUCUACUCCGCCGCGGGGCGCCUCACCUUCCUUUUCCGGGUCGCACGCAGCGACGGUCCACCCCGGCGCCUCCGGUUGGAUCUGCUCCACUAAGCAUCGCACGAGGAGCGUUCAUGUUGCGCGGACGAUUUUUAGUCAGUUGACUGUAAAUUGAUUCAGAGUGAGUUGGUACGUUAUAAAAUACAGUAGCAAACGUUGUAAAAAGAGAUGAUUGACGUUAUAGGCCCAAAAAAUCUCCUUUUUUCGUUGUACGGGAUCGAGGUAAGGUAAUGCUUUACUUUGUGUCUCAAAUCUAGAAUGUUUUCAUCGUGUGUCUCCUCGUCGUUUGGGUGACGGAGUCGGUGUUACGCCUUUACGCGGGGUAUUUCUUUUCAUCAUGUUUUGUAUUUAAUCGACCGGAUAAUGUAUUUACUUUCAAGUGGGCACAAAUGUGGUAUCAACGGAUCCAUGUCCCCUCGGGGUAAAAUGUAGAUGAGGGGUCGAUGGUCUUCUAGAAGUCACUCGUAACAGGGUGAAGUCGGUCCUAGACCGGUGUAGUCUUCUCCCCCCCGAGGAGCGGUCAACGAGGUCGAGGGAACUGGUAAAAAGGUCGAACAAGGACCGUACUGGACUCCUAUCCGUAAGGGUGUUUCUAUCUAAGCUGCGUCAAAAAGCGGUAUAUCGGACGUAGGGUCCGGUCUGUUAUCGUAGCUUUUGGUACAAUAACGCUCAAAAAGUCUAUCGGGUGACCGGUCGACGUACAUACUAUAACUAACGUCGUUUAGAUAGAGGAGAUCUGGUUGUCCUUCUCUUCCUGUAGUAUAACUACAGGGGGCGUUUUGGUCAAUCGGAUAACUAUCUAGAGGUAUUAAGUCAUCGUUGUUGUGUUGGUUUUUUAUUUACCAUCGUUCUAUGGUCGAGUCUCGUUUUAUGUGUUCAAUGUGGUUUUGUCAAACGGAGAAUUGAUUUGACAGAGAUCACUCGUACAGCAGGGAGUAGCUAACAUCCUGUGCAGUAGAGUCGCCAACGUUGUAGGAAGUAACUGCCGAUAUCGUAAAGUAAAUCUUACCAACAGCGUAAAUAAUAACAACGAACGUUAUGGUAGCAUUGUGAAAAAACAGGGGCAAACAUUGUAGGUCAGCACGGCGAACAUCGUUUUUUGGUGCGGCUGCAGUGAGCCGACUCUGAAACAAUUCAGAGUUAGCUGACUCAAAAUCUGUGCGGGUAAUUUGUUUCGAAGUGCCCCUAACAAUUUUUUCUACCCCCGGUCGCGAGACACGGCCAGCUGGCCGCGUUGGGGGACAGAUUCGGCGUGCCAACUCUAACAACAGUUGCAACCUACACGGACAACGCAGUAAGCGAAGAGCAGAGCGUGUCUUUAUUUUGGGACUGAGGAUAACGUGUGCCUGUUGUUUAAGUUGUCUCGUAGGCCUGGUUGGACACCAACGUGACAAUAAGAUCUUGAAACACACGAGUUCUAGUAUGUUGAACAACGAAAUCCUUCCUAUGAUUUGUGGGAGCCAAGGUUAGACUCAUGUUACUAUUACUGUGUAACCGAAAAAUAUAACUCCUACGUAUACUAAUAAUACUAUAUAUUGUUUGAUUUCUUAGAUAACGAAAAUCCCCACGAAUACUUUAACGGAGAAACGGAUUUAAACUUUGAUUACUACGAGGAACAUUUAGAUUUUUGAAACGAUAUCAAUUUAUAACGAAGUUUUUAAAGUUAUUGUUAGGAAUAUAAUGAUUACUAUAAUUCUUUCAGAAGCAGCAGGCUCUUCUCUAAAUACAAAACGUCCAUGGUUACCUUCUUCUUUAAUGACUUUAACUAACGAGAAAUGUACUUUUUCUACUCCUUCUCACUUCUUGUUCCUCCUUCUCGCCCAACUAUUGGAAACGGGUUGGAGGUAAAUCCCAAUGACAAAGUGACAAACGGAAACGGAUUGAAACGUUUACUCCUCGUCGAUUCCUUGUUAACCAUAGAGCUGUGCAGCCAGUUACUGUACUCGCUGUACACGUUGCUGUAUACCGACCCACUGAAGACUGCUAAUAGGUCUGGCAGUCCAAAGUACAGCUUGUUGCAGUACGCGCUCCGACUCUCCAACAGCGAGGAACUGUGCAGGAAGAGUUGUGUAAAAGUGCGUGAACUAGUCAGCCAAGAGCUACGUUACGUGCGGUAGGAGGGCGGGAAAAUGUAGUAGCUAGGCGAUGUAGAGGUGCGGUCUUUGCGGCGGGGGGACAGCCACAGUUUUGGCCGCCUAGAGCCCAUCCCCCAGGGCUUGACACGAAGAUCCGCCUACCAUUGUCCUCUGUUCCCUGUGCUACAAAAAUGGGUCCAAGCCCGGGAGAGCUACCUCUGUGGCCUCUCCCGAUCUCAAUGUGUCUCAGCCAAUGUUACCCUCCUCUAGAAGUAUAGCAUAGCGGUUCGAACGGAAGGUGCGGUUCCUUUCAGGGUAGGCCUGUGCCCUGCCUCAGAAGUUAGAACAUAGAAGUAUCAGGCCCUCAGGCCGGUUUCCAGUAUCAGGCCGGUAGGCCUGUGGGGGAUUAGGUCCUGAGGGAGUCAUCGGGGACUUGGUCCGAAGUUACUGCUGCUCAGGCCGUGCGUUCAACAGAAGCCGUAACGUUCCGCCCAAGGAGGAGGCUUAUAAAGUAUCUUCUACAACUUGUGGUCCCAUCACAGGCCGAGACGUUUUAUUCAAGGUGUAAGGAAGCAUCUCUCUUAUUAUAAACAUAAUUAGCCUAGACGACUGCAUAAGACACCGCACUGUAGUACGGUGUCGGUCCGAGAAAUAAAUAAAGUAACAAGGUAGAGUCGCGCAAAUCGCUCCGCCAAAUGAACCGUGCAGAACAGUUUCGUCUCUAGCACAGGGG
rnacentral:rRNA from 1 species